UACGUAGGGUGCAAGCGUUGUCCGGAAUUAUUGGGCGUAAAGAGCUCGUAGGCGGUCUGUCGCGUCGGAUGUGAAAAUCCAGGGCUCAACCCUGGACCUGCAUUCGAUACGGGCAGACUAGAGUUCGGUAGGGGAGACUGGAAUUCCUGGUGUAGCGGUGAAAUGCGCAGAUAUCAGGAGGAACACCAAUGGCGAAGGCAGCACUCUGGGACGUGACUGACGCUGAGGAGCGAAAGCGUGGGGAGCAAACAGG
rnacentral:rRNA from 1 species